rnacentral:rRNA from 1 species
GACGGACGCUGGCGGCGUGCUUAACACAUGCAAGUCGAACGAUGACGACCGAGCUUGCUCGGUCUGAUUAGUGGCGAACGGGUGAGUAACACGUGAGCAACCUGCCCUUCACUCUGGGAUAACCUCGGGAAAUCGGGGCUAAUACCGGAUAUGAGCUCCUGUCGCAUGGCGGGUGUUGGAAAGUUUUUCGGUGAAGGAUGGGCUCGCGGCCUAUCAGUUUGUUGGUGAGGUAGUGGCUCACCAAGGCGAUGACGGGUAGCCGGCCUGAGAGGGCGACCGGCCACACUGGGACUGAGACACGGCCCAGACUCCUACGGGAGGCAGCAGUGGGGAAUAUUGCACAAUGGGCGAAAGCCUGAUGCAGCGACGCCGCGUGAGGGAUGACGGCCUUCGGGUUGUAAACCUCUUUCAGGAGGGAAGAAGCGAAAGUGACGGUACCUGCAGAAGAAGCGCCGGCUAACUACGUG